rnacentral:rRNA from 1 species
GUUAAGGCAUGAUGGCCUGUACCCGAAACCGACACAGGUGGGGUGGUAGAGAAUACCGAGGGGCGCGAGAUAACUCUCUCUAAGGAACUCGGCAAAAUGGCCCCGUAACUUCGGGAGAAGGGGUGCCACCGCAAGGUGGUCGCAGUGAAGAGGCCCAGGCGACUGUUUACCAAAAACACAGGUCUCCGCUAAGUCGCAAGACGAUGUAUGGGGGCUGACGCCUGCCCAGUGCCGGAAGGUUAAGGAAGCUGGUCAGCGUAAGCGAAGCUAGCGACUGAAGCCCCGGUGAACGGCGGCCGUAACUAUAACGGUCCUAAGGUAGCGAAAUUCCUUGUCGGGUAAGUUCCGACCCGCACGAAAGGCGUAACGAUCUGGGCGCUGUCUCGGAGAGAGGCUCGGCGAAAUAGAAUUGUCUGUGAAGAUGCGGACUACGUGCACCCGGACAGAAAGACCCUAUGAAGCUUUACUGUAGCUUGGUAUUGUGCCCGGGCUCUGAAUGCGCAGGAUAGGUGGGAGGCUUUGAUCCAUUGCUUGUGGGUGAUGGUGAGCCAACGGUGAGAUACCACUCUUUCAGAGCUAGGGUUCUAACGGUCACCCGUCACCCGGGGACCGGACAGUAUCAGGUGGGCAGUUUGACUGGGGCGGUCGCCUCCUAAAAGGUAACGGAGGCGCGCAAAGGUUUGCUCAGGCUGGUUGGAAAUCAGCCGACGAGUGUAAAAGCAGAAGCAAGCUUGACUGUGAGACCUACAAGUCGAACAGGGACGAAAGUCGGCUUUAGUGAUCCGACGGUUCUGAGUGGAAGGGCCGUCGCUCAACGGAUAAAAGUUACUCUAAGGAUAACAGGCUGAUCUCCCCCAAGAGUUCACAUCGACGGGGAGGUUUGGCACCUCGAUGUCGGCUCAUCGCAACCUGGGGCUGAAGUCGGUCCCAAGGGUUGGGCUGUUCGCCCAUUAAAGCGGUACGCGAGCUGGGUUCAGAACGUCGUGAGACAGUUCGGUCCAUAUCCGGUGCAUGCGCAGGAAUAUUGAGAGGAUUUCUCCCUAGUACGAGAGGACCGGGAGGAACGCACCUCUGGUGUGCCAGUUAUCGUGCCAACGGUAAACGCUGGGUAGCCAUGUGCGGAGAGGAUAACCGCUGAAAGCAUCUAAGUGGGAAGCCCACCUCAAGAUGAGUAUUCCCAUGGCGUUAGCCAGUAAGGUCACGGGCAGAACACCCGUUGAUAGGCUCUACGUGGAAGCCGGGUAACCGGUGAAGCGGAGGAGUACUAAUAGACCGAGGGCUUGACC